CAGCGUUCCUAGAGGCACAAGCGGCUUCUAGCCGCACGAAACAGAGCAAUAACAGCUCUGUGAUGCCCAUAGAUGUCCGGGGCCGGACGCGCGCUUCACUGAAGGAAGCGGCGUGAUUUUAUCCCUGUCUGUUAAGACAGUAAGCUUACAAAAAAAAAAAAAAAACUUAAGCAAAUACAGAGG
rnacentral:ncRNA from 1 species